AUCUUAUUUCGAGGAGCUAAGGGAUUUGGCCCAAUGAUGCUUCAGCAACCGGCUGAAUAAAGUACGGUGCUAAAACCAACGAUAUAGUCGAAUGAUAAGUA
rnacentral:ncRNA from 2 species